ACAGCCAGGUUUUCGUAGGUGACUGCGGAGGUCAUUAUUGAAUUUUGAAAGAAAAAGGUUGUAGCUGAUCGCAAUAGAUAUGUGCACACCUUGUUUCCAAAUUUUACACCAUGUGCACUUUUUGUAGACCAACUUUUGGUCUAUGUUUUUUAAAUACACUCAAGUGUUAGAAUAUAUAUAUAACUUGCUUUGCAAGCUAAUAAAUACAACUUUCAACAACGGAUCUCUUGGCUCUCGCAUCGAUGAAGAACGCAGCGAAAUGCGAUAAGUAAUGUGAAUUGCAGAAUUCAGUGAAUCAUCGAAUCUUUGAACGCACCUUGCGCUCCUUGGUAUUCCGAGGAGCAUGCCUGUUUGAGUGUCAUUAAAUUCUCAAAAAAAUCUAGGUUUUUUUGGACUUGGAGUGUUGCUGGCUUUUUCAAAGGUCGGCUACUCUUAAAUGUAUUAGCUUAUAUAGAAAAGCUUUAGUUUGAUAAAUAUCUAUACUAUUGCUUUGAAGCCAAUGUUAGCUUCCAAUUGUUGUUUAAUAUUUUGACCUCAAAUCAGGUAGGAUUACCCGCUGAACUUAAGCAUAUCAAUAAGCGGAGGAA
rnacentral:rRNA from 1 species